GACGAACCGUGCGAACGUUAUUCGGAAUCACUGGGCUUAAAGGGCGCGUAGGCGGGCUCACAAGUCAGGGGUGAAAUCCCACGGCUCAACCGUGGAAGUGCCUUUGAUACUGUGGGUCUGGAGGGAGGUAGGGGCGUGCGGAACUUCCGGUGGAGCGGUGAAAUGCGUAGAUAUCGGAAGGAACACCGGUGGCGAAAGCGGCGCGCUGGACCUCUACUGACGCUGAGGCGCGAAAGCCAGGGGAGCAAACGGG
rnacentral:rRNA from 1 species